rnacentral:ncRNA from 1 species
ACCUGAGCUUCCAUUUCGCGAUCGGACAAGCCGCCACAAAUUUGGAUAAUGCGGUCAGACAGCGUCGACUUACCGUGGUCGAUGUGAGCAAUGAUCGAAAAGUUACGUAUAUUCUUCAUAUAGGGAGAUUUUUGCCUUACGAAUAACUAAGAGGCCGCGGUUCGGAGCCUGACGUCAAAAGUCUGAAACGCCGCAUUCUACACUACAACCACAAUGCGGGGAAAUGCUCAUACUGGCAACAAACCGGCCGCGCAUUCCCCCCGGUAAGACAGGAAAAUCACUGGCAUUAUUCGGCAGGUGAAUUGUCGAUGCGCACCAGUCGGGAGGGAGGCCAACGCUGAUAAUCACCGGCUGCCAUUCGGAACGAUUCGCCAGUUUUGGCGAAAAACUCCGCGCCAGUAAAAACCGCCAACCCCACCCAAUAUGGCGCCGCACAACGUGGCCAGAUCCUGAUUAAAAGGGUCUGGAAGAGCGCCGACAUCAGGAAAAAGACCAACCAGCGGAGACAUAUACACCAGCAGCGCUGACGUCAAUAAACUGGCUUCGCCAAUCCCCAGCUCCACUUUUUGCCCGGCAACCAGCGGCUGAUCGCACGGUACGGACAAGGUAUGGGUCAUUUGCGGCCCAAGUUUGUUCAGUACGCGGCUCCCGCAUCCACUUCGUGAAGCACAACUGCUACAGGAGGCUUUAACGUCGCACUCCACCAACGCUUCACCGUUUUUCCAUGAGACGACGGUCGCCCACUCUUUGAUCAUUGUGCUGCCCUGAAUUUGAUGCUGUCCGCAAUACGC